CCUACGGGCGGCAGCAGUGGGGAAUAUUGGACAAUGGGGGGAACCCUGAUCCAGCGACGCCGCGUGAGUGAAGAAGUAUUUCGGUAUGUAAAGCUCUAUCAGCAGGGAAGAAAAUGACGGUACCUGACUAAGAAGCUCCGGCUAACUACGUGCCAGCAGCCGCGGUAAUACGGAGGGGGCAAGCGUUAUCCGGAUUUACUGGGUGUAAAGGGAGCGGAGACGGGGCAGCAAGUUGGUAGCGUAACUCCGGGGCUCAACCUCGGCACUACUACCAAAACUGUCGGACUUGAGUGCAGGAGGGGCAAAUGGAAUUCCUAGUGUAGCGGUGGAAUGCGUAGAUAUUAGGAGGAACACCAGUGGCGAAGGCGAUUUGCUGGACUGUAACUGACACUGAGGCACGAAAGCGUGGGGAGCAAACAGGAUUAGAUACCCUGGUAGUC
rnacentral:rRNA from 1 species